rnacentral:rRNA from 1 species
UGAACUUAAGCAUAUCAAUAAGCGGAGGAAAAGAAACUAACAAGGAUUCCCCUAGUAACGGCGAGUGAAGCGGGAAGAGCUCAAAUUUGAAAUCUGGCGGUCUCAGGCCGUCCGAGUUGUAAUCUAUAGAGGUGUUUUCCGUGCCGGACCGUGUACAAGUCCCUUGGAACAGGGCGUCAUAGAGGGUGAGAAUCCCGUCCAUGACACGGACUACCGGUGCUCUGUGAUACACCUUCAAAGAGUCGAGUUGUUUGGGAAUGCAGCUCAAAACGGGUGGUAAAUUCCAUCUAAAGCUAAAUAUAGACGAGAGACCGAUAGCGAACAAGUACCGUGAGGGAAAGAUGAAAAGAACUUUGGAAAGAGAGUUAAACAGUACGUGAAAUUGUUGAAAGGGAAACGCUUGAAGUCAGUCGCGUCUUCCAGGACUCAGCCUUGCUUCUGCUUGGUGUACUUCCUGGCGGAUGGGCCAGCAUCGAUUUUGAUCGCCGGAAAAGGGCGGGAGGAAUGUGGCAGCUUGCUGUGUUAUAGCCUCCCGUCGUACACGGUGGUUGGGAUCGAGGACUGCAGCACGCCUUUGGUCGGGGUUCGCCCACGCCACGUGCUUAGGAUGCUGGCGUAAUGGCUUUAAACGACCCGUCUUGAAACACGGACCAAGGAGUCUAACAUGCCUGCGAGUGUUUGGGUGUCAAACCCAGGCGCGUAAUGAAAGUGAAAAGUUGGGACUCUUUAGUGAGGCACCGACGCCCGAUCCUGACGUUCUCUGACGGAUUUGAGGCAGAGCAUGUAUGUUGGGACCCGAAAGAUGGUGAACUAUGCCUGAAUAGGGUGAAGCCAGAGGAAACUCUGGUGGAGGCUCGUAGCGAUUCUGACGUGCAAAUCGAUCGUCAAAUUUGGGUAUAGGGGCGAAAGACUAAUCGAACCAUCUAGUAGCUGGUUCC